AUUGAACGCUGGCGGCAGGCCUAACACAUGCAAGUCGAGCGAGCGGCGGACGGGUGAGUAAUGUAUGGGGACUGCCCGAUAGAGGGGGCUAACUACUGGAAACGGUGGCUAAUCCCGCAUACUAUCGGAUAACCAAUAUGGGAUUAGCUAGUAGGUGGGGUAAAGGCUCACCUAGGCGACGAACUCUAGCUGGUCUGAGAGGAUGAUAAGCCACACUGGGACUGAGACACGGCCCACAAUCCUGCGGAGGCAGCAGUGGGGAAUAUUGCACGAUGGCCGCAAGCCUGAUGCAGCCAUGCCGCGUGUAUUAAGAAGGCUUUAGGGUUGUAAAGUAGUUUCAGCGGGGAGGCGUUACCCGCAGAAGAAGACCCGGCUAAGUCCGUGCGAGCCGCGGCGGUAAUAG
rnacentral:rRNA from 1 species